CAAUAGGUGUAAGUCUUCUCUUUAGAAAAUUGAGACUUUAGUUCAAUUCGUACUUCAAUGUCAUUCCUUCAUUCCUGUUCAUUCAAUUCUUUCACAAAGACGUGUUUUUAGAGUGUAAGGAAAGUCUUUAUAAUUUGAGAAUACUGAUUAUUGUGCAUUUUCUUUCUAUAGAUUAAUUUGAACACAAGAUGUCUCGCUAUCGAGAAUGGGAUCUCUCUUGCAAAGUUUAUGUCGGUAACCUUGGUACAAAUGCUUCUAAAUAUGAAAUAGAGAAAGUGUUUUCAAAAUAUGGAAGUAUAAGAAAUGUGUGGGUGGCACGAAAUCCUCCUGGCUUUGCUUUUGUUGAAUUUGAAGACCCACGUGACGCCGAAGACUCCGUUCGUGGUCUAGAUGGAACACGUUGCUGUGGAACAAGAAUUCGUGUUGAAAUGUCCAAUGGUAGAACACGAAGAGAUAGACGAUACUCCAGGUCCAUUUUAUCAACCAACCACCAACACACCAACGACCUCACCACAUCUCUUCACCACAACUACGGCUUCUUUACCAAUAAGACAUCCGCGACCGUCGCUCGCAACUACAUCCCGCUCAACUUCUGCGAUCGGCUCUCCAAACUACUACGCGCAGCUGAAGCCUUCACCAACUGCGUCCCCUCUAUCCUCUUAACGGCCAUUACCUAAAUCCUGAAACUCCUAAACACCUGGACCUAAAAUAUUACUAAUGAGAGCCACAUAGUAGAAACCUUCAAUAUCCUGUGUAUCAUUGCAAAAUCCUGAUGCUUCACGUCUGCACACUUACGUCGUCACCGAGGCACCGAACUAGACACCGACUUACGGCGAUCAACUUGUCCCCGUGUCCGCAAUUCGUUAUUGAAACUCCCGGUUAAAGUCAUCAUUCGAAGAUCACAUUGAAACUUGCUCCGCCUCGGUAUUCGAACCCCCUUCGGCCUCACAGCAGACCUCACAACGCUCGACGACCAACAGGCUCACCAAGUCUCGAUCCCGCAGCCGUAGCCCACGUCGGCGCUCAUACUCGCGCGGCCGAUCCGGCUCCCCACGGCGGUCGCCAUCAGUACGACGUCGCUCCCCCUCCGUGCGACGCUCACGGUCGCGCGACCGACGCAGCCGAUCAGAUAGCAAGAGCAGGUAUAUAAGUCCAGAGAAAAGCCCCUACCGUCGCUCCACAUCACGUUCCCGGUCUCGAGAACAACGCAGCAGAUCAGACAGUAGGAACAGGUAAUUUAAGUUUGAUGUUUACUAAUGUAAUAAACAGUCAGCCAGCAUUAUCUACAUUGGGACCACAUGUCCUCUCUGCACAACUAAUUAUCAAUAACAGGUAUUAAACUGUUGUGACUUAGUAUGUUUUGGUUUUUUUUUUUAUUAUAUUCACUGUAUUUUUGUAGUAUUGUGCACCAUAAUUCAUUUAGAACAAAAUUGAUUACAUGUAUAA